rnacentral:lncRNA from 1 species
GUCUGAUUAGGUUUUUCAGUCUUCUUUGAAGUUACCGUUGAUAUCUCGUUUCUUAGAGAUUUUCUGGUCUAUGUUGUUUGGUCUAACUGAUGACUUAAUGGCUUAGUCCCUAGUGUUUGGACGGAAUGAGUGCUGUAUAUUCUUGAGAGGUUUGAGAGGGUUACUAUGUUGUAUCAUUGUGAAUAUUUGUUAACUUCGUGACCAUUUCUGGUGUUCUGUGUUAUGAUUUCUGCAGUGCUUGUGAAAAUUUACCGAUUUCGUGGUGCUUGGAUUCUAUACAGUAGGAUUAAUCGAUUUAAGGUAAAGCUCAUUGUGCAGGCAGUCGCAGGCAUCUGGAGAGAGGUGGAGGUGCAAGCUCUUUAAAUUCUGGACGAAACCUUGAAACAAGGCAACACAAGUUGGGUAUAAAGAAUGGCAAAGACAUCCUAAAAAAGAGAGAGAGUAGCAUUUCGUAUAACACUUCCAGGCAAUCAGCAAGCAUUUCUUCUUUAGGUGAUAGCAGAGAAAAGGUAUCAAUCAUCACAACUGUCAGAUGUAACUUUUGAGUGGUAAUGACCACCACAAUGUUUGUUGUUUUAUCUGAUUGUGUUGGAUGAAUUGGUUUUACCAAUUAUUUUAUUUGGUACCAUUAGUUGGACAAAAGUUCUCUUUGGCCUAGUGUAUUCUACUCCAAGAGUGGAUUAAUGAUAUGUAUUUAUUAUUGCAAAACCAAUUAAGGGUGAAUGAGAAAUUACUGCCGAAAGAUGAACACUUGAAGUUGAAAUAAAGUGGGAAUGAAAAUUGGUGGGAAAUUGGAGAAUCCCAACCUACAUGCUAGUAGCUUGAGCCAAAACCCACAUGCGCUCUGUCGGUCGACAUGGCACCGAAAUUUUGCCCAAUUGUUUAGUCACUAUAAAAGAUCAUUUUGAAUAUAAAUUAUUGCAUCAGGUAACUAUAAUCACAACUGUUAAAUAUGAUUUUGUGUAGUAAUGACCGCCAUAAUGUUUAUUGUUUUAUCUGAUUGCACCAGGAAGCAGAAAGUUCUUCUAAGAAAAGAUUCACUCAUUUGUCAGAAGAACUAGACUUAGACGAUAGGUGGUUACCGCUUCUGGAUCAUUUGAGCACUUUUGGUCUUAAGGAAUCACAUUUUAUUCAAAUGUAUGAAAGGCAUAUGCCAUCCCUUCAGAUAAAUGUUGACUCUGCUGAGGAAAGAUUGGGAUAUUUGUUAAGUGUUGGCGUCAAACACAGAGAUAUCAGAAAAAUAAUUUUGAGACAGCCUCAAAUUUUGGGGUACACCAUCGAAAACAAUCUGAAGUCUCAUGUUGCCUUUUUGGGAAGAUUGGGCAUUCCAGAAUCGAGAAUAGGGCAAAUAAUUACUGCCACCCCAUCCAUGUUCUCUUACAGUAUUGAUAAUUCUUUAAAACCUACAGUCAAGUACCUUCUUGAGGAGAUAGGAAUCGAGAAGCAUGAUCUGAGUAAAGUUGUGCAGUUAAGCCCUCAAAUUCUGGUUCAGCGGAUAGACAAUACAUGGACUGCUCGUUUCAAUUUUCUGACAAAAGAAUUGGGAGCACCCAGAGAGAGUAUAGUAAAGAUGGUCACUAAACACCCUCAAAUACUACACUACAGCAUUGAAGAUGGAUUACGCCCCAGGAUCAAUUUCUUAAGAGGCAUUGGGAUGUGCAUCUCUGAUAUACUGAAAGUAUUAACUAGCCUUACACAGGUCAGCUGGAUUCUCUUGUGCAAUUGAUUUUGUACCUCAAACUACAAGCUCGACCAACUUGUCCUCAAAAUUGAAUCCAUGCCUUUUACCUUUUCAUACAGAUCUUGUUUUGCUUAACAUCACAAUCAAAUUAAAUUUUCAGAUGAUGCCAUCUGUGCUUGCAGGUAUUCUCUCUGUCAUUGGAGGGAAAUCUGAAACCUAAAUACAUGUACUUGAUCAAUGAACUUAAAAAUGAGGUCCAUUCCCUGACCAAAUAUCCGACAUACCUAAGCUUGUCUCUUGACCAGCGAAUUCGUCCUCGCCAUAGGUUUUUGGUUUCCUUGAAGAAAGCUCCGAAAGGGCCAUUUCCUUUGAGCUCACUGGUUCCAACUGAUGAAAACUUUUGCCACCAGUGGGCAGGAACUAGCUUAGACAAAUAUCUGGAUUUCCGGGAGAGAUUGCUGCUCAAAGAGUUUGCAAAGAAGUACGAAAGACAAUGAUUAGUUCCAUUCUCAUUCCUAGUCUACUUGGUAAUAGAUCACACACAUUACAGCAAAUUGAGAUGCAUAUACUCUUUUCCUGGGAACACUUGAAUAUUAAGGUGAGUCAGAUGUUCAUGAUAAUUGACACAUACAUUUAUAUCGAAGAAACAUGUAUAAUGUUAAUUUCUGUUUUAUAUCUGUGCUAGCUGUUUCUAAAUUUUGCUAUAC